ensembl:processed_transcript Snhg17 small nucleolar RNA host gene 17
UUCUUCCGCCAGCGCCCAUCGUGAAGACCACAGUUUCCUGUCGCGUGGAUGUGUUUCCUCUCUGGCCAUUGCCAUCCGCCCAAAUCUACAGACAUCCCGCAUGUUCCCGGGCUCGUCUCCCCAAUACAGGGCACCAAGGCUGUAGACUGCGCAGCCCUCCUGGAGACAGAUGGAAGCUCCUUGGGUCGACAGAUUACAGCUUCUGGAACCCCCUACUCCCUUCAACUCCGAGAUGGACACCCACUGUCCAGGGAGAGGAUGCCUGGGUAAGUGCUCUGCUAUUCGGGAGCAACUUGAAGCCCGGGUGCCUGUAAUUGGCCUUCCCAUGGGUACCAGCAGAGG